AUUGGUGCCUUCGGAUUCUACAUCCAAUUGCUGCAUGGCUGUCGUCAGCUCGUGUCGUGAGAUGUUGGUUAAGUCCCGCAACGAGCGCAACCCUUUUCCCUUACUAGACAGCAUUUCGGAUGGGAACUUUAAGGAUACUGCCAGUGACAAACUGGAGGAAGGCGGGGACGACGUCAAGUCAUCAUGGCCCUUACGGCCAGGGCUACACACGUGCUACAAUGGUCGGUACAAAGGGUUGCUACACAGCGAUGUGAUGCUAAUCUCAAAAAGCCGAUCGUAGUCCGGAUUGGAGUCUGCAACUCGACUCCAUGAAGUCGGAAUCGCUAGUAAUCCGUCUUCGUUCAUCGCAUGCCGCGGUGAAUACGUUCCAGGGCCUUGACACCUUAUGCAUGGUUCACACCAUGGGAGUUUGUUGCACCAGAAGUAGCUAGCCUAACUGCAAAGAGGGCUGUACCA
rnacentral:rRNA from 1 species